CUCUCCCUAAUUCCCUCAGAUGCUGAACACAUAGCAGAAAAUGGAUGCUGAACAGCAUAAAGCAAAGACUCCAGGAAAAGGAAAAUCAGGGGUGCAUAAGUGCUAAGAUUUCAACUAAACUUCAUCAGUAGGAAAAGCAUCACACAAACCCUACAUUCAGUACAACUUAAGGAGAUGUUUGUCAGAGCUGUGACAAGAACUCCCAAGCUUAUACUCAGAUCAUGCCUCUUUUAUGGCUGCACGAAAGACACAGCUGAAGAGCAACCUUCUUUCCUCUCCACCAAGCAGAGAUGUCUGCAGAUCUCUACUUCUGUGUAGUGCUACUCCCCCAAAGGCACGCUGUGAUCAACACGAGGUGAACCUU
rnacentral:lncRNA from 1 species